GGGCACCUGUGGUUGGGAGGCCUGAGCUGGGCAUGUCAGCGUCCCCCGAUCUGGAACCCGAGAGCAUGAACACCCCGGAUACAUACAUCAUCUAGAUCGGGUUUCUGCAUCAGAUUUCAUUUACAAAGGAGUUUCCCUGCUGAAAUAAAUGUGACAACCACAUUCUUUAAUCACAGUGCUUGCUGGCGACUGGAGAUUUCUUGCAACAACGCUGUAUCCCACCCAGUCACAUUGCUACUGACGCCAGCCUUGCACCUGGGCUAAAACAUUCACAGCGGAGUGAGAAUGACUAGAGUUGUCUCUAAGGACCUGAACAAGAGGGCAGCCAACUUGUCAGCCAAAGCGCCUACCUAUUUCCCUCCUUCUUCCCCUUUCUCUAUCUUCAUUCCUUCAUUCACACAUUUAUCCAACCCACCAGCCAACCUACUCAUAUUUUUUGAAUGCCUACCUUGUGCUGAGCUAUGGGCAAGACACUAUGAAUUCAGCACUGACUGAGAAAGUAUCUUUGCCCCCACAUGAUUUACAUUCUGGGGGAGAUAGACAAUAAACAAACAAAUAAGACAGUUAUUGAUUGCAGCAAAAGCAGAAACAAAUGUAAAGUAAUGGAAGUAGAGAGUAGAUGAGGGGCCUCAUCCUUCUUGGUCUUGGACCCUAAUCUUCUGCAGGUGGGCAGCCACAUCCCAAAGCAGGACUCCAUUCAUACUUUAGUGUGUGCACGGAGCACUUGGGGACCUUGUGGAAAUGCAGAAGCUGACUCAGUAGUUCUGGUGUGGGACCUGAGAUUCUGUAUGUCUACCAGUUCCCAGGUGAUGCAGGGCCAUGCUUUUCACAGUGUGGGUCCACAGAACAUGGACUACUCCUUGCCAAGCCCAGACGAUGAUGAUAGCCCCUUCCCCAAGGAUGGCACGCGAGGGAAGCUGGGGAGGGAGCCUGCAAAGACCUGCAGAACUUCUGAGGUUGGAGAAGCCUGCCUAGACCCAUGAGCAGCUGCAGAGCUGUACCCUGCAAACCCAAGCAAGUGGCUUUAGCAGGAGCUGCAGUAGAGCUCAGAGGUGUCCCAAUCAGCUGCCAGGGAUGCCAGGAAACUUAAGCAAAGACAUCUGCCUUUGCCAUUUAAAAAAAAAAAAAAAAAAAAA
rnacentral:lncRNA from 1 species